GAUGAACGCUGGCGGCGUGCCUAAUACAUGCAAGUCGAGCGAACAGACGAGGAGCUUGCUCCUCUGACGUUAGCGGCGGACGGGUGAGUAACACGUGGAUAACCUACCUAUAAGACUGGGAUAACUUCGGGAAACCGGAGCUAAUACCGGAUAAUAUAUUGAACCGCAUGGUUCAAUAGUGAAAGACGGUUUUGCUGUCACUUAUAGAUGGAUCCGCGCCGCAUUAGCUAGUUGGUAAGGUAACGGCUUACCAAGGCGACGAUGCGUAGCCGACGUGAGCGGGUGAUCGGCCACACUGGAACUGAGACACGGUCCAGACUCCUACGGGAGGCAGCAGUAGGGAAGCUUCCGCAAUGGGCGAAAGCCUGACGGAGCAACGCCGCGUGAGUGAUGAAGGUCUUCGGAUCGUAAAACUCUGUUAUUAGGGAAGAACAAAUGUGUAAGUAACUAUGCACGUCUUGACGGUACCUAAUCAGAAAGCCACGGCUAACUACGUG
rnacentral:rRNA from 1 species